rnacentral:rRNA from 1 species
UACGGGGGGAGCAAGCGUUGUUCGGAUUUACUGGGCGUAAAGGGCGCGUAGGCGGCCACCGCAAGUCGACUGUGAAAUCUCCGGGCUUAACCCGGAACGGUCAGCCGAUACUGCGGGGCUAGAGUGCAGAAGGGGCAACUGGAAUUCUCGGUGUAGCGGUGAAAUGCGUAGAUAUCGAGAGGAACACCUGCGGCGAAGGCGGGUUGCUGGGCUGACACUGACGCUGAGGCGCGAAAGCUAGGGGAGCGAACAGG